UACGUAGGGGGCUAGCGUUGUCCGGAAUCAUUGGGCGUAAAGCGCGUGUAGGCGGUCCGGUAAGUCCGCUGUGAAAGUCGGGGGCUCAACCCUCGGAUGCCGGUGGAUACUGUCGGGCUUGAGUACGGAAGAGGCGAGUGGAAUUCCUGGUGUAGCGGUGAAAUGCGCAGAUAUCGGGAGGAACACCGGUGGCGAAGGCGGGUCGCUGG
rnacentral:rRNA from 1 species